GGCAAUCGCUUAACCAACUGAGCCACCCAGGGGCCCCAGGAGAGCAGGUGAAGAACAGAGGUUCAGUGAGGUAAAUUAAGAAUAGAAGUUGCUAAGCCCAAUAAUGGACUGAAUCAGGUAAGUGCCAUUUCUAACUUCAUCUGAUGGAUGAGAAACAGCACACAGAUUAAAUAAUUGUUCACUUUCACAAGCUGCAAAGGUAGGGUUCAAAUCCUGACAGUCAGGCUCCACAAGCCAUCCUCUUUACCAAGCUCGCAUAGAGUCUCUCAUUAAAAAAGAUUCAUAGGCCCCUCCACAGCCCAAAGGUAUACAUUUUAAACAAGAUCCCAAGGUGAUUCUUCUAUGCACUGGUUUGAAAACCAUUACUGUAGAUUUGUUCAAACAGAAAAUAGUAGAUGAGUGCCCUCUGGUGUAUAUACCUGAGCAUUACACAUUUGUUGGUGUUGAAUCAGAUCUUUUAUCAUUUUGUACAAAAUAGCCAAAUUUCAAGAUGUACAAAUUUUAAGGGCUGUAUUAGGAUAAAUUAUUUCCAUGUCAAUGUCUUAACUUAUGAAUGCUACCUUAAAUUGAUUUUUGUCUCAAAAGGAUUCUAUAAAUAUUGCCAGAUAACUGUCUCUCUCAUCAGACCUCAGCAGGUCCUGGGAAUUCAAUUUAAAUAAUGGAAGGCUCCAAUCCAACAAGUUUGUUAGGAAUGAAGGCUCAUAUCCUUAGUGCACAGUAGGUGGUAAUUGGGAACCGCCACAUUCACUGUGUUCAAGGGGCAGAUUUUACUCAUCCUAUUUGUGGUGGCUUCACUGCAUCAUUAAUUGUCCUCAGUAGGUCCCACUCAGUUUAUUAUGUCAGAAAAGGAUUAGACUCAGGCCCUUCUACUUUUCUCUUGUCCUCUUUAGAAUAAGUUGGAAGGGAGGAGAAUCCAUUCACUCUUUAGUAUGAUGUGUAAAAAUCCCCUGUUUACUAUGUUAGGCUAUUGCUUAUUCCCCAUCAGGAAGCCAUCCAUAUAUUUUUUAGGUUAGAGUUAUGUUUGUAACAAAAAGACCCAAAAUGUAAUGGUCGAAACAAGAUUGACUUUUAUUCUCUCUGAAAUAACUAUCCAGAGAUAGUAGUCCAUGUAGCGAAGCUCUGACACCCAUGCUCAACACACAGUUCCAUUUCUGGGUUCAAAAUGUCGGCUCCACGUCCUGCUCUUGCAUCUGUAUCCCAGCCAGUGGAGAAGAAGCCAGGGAAGAGCACAUCGAUUCUUUUAAAGGACAAAACCCGAAGUGGCAGACAACAGCUUUACCCACAACCCACUGACCAGAAUUUGGUCAUAAGCUCUAAGAGAGUAUGGGAACAUGGUCCUUAGUGAGGCAGCUACCUGGCCCACGAAACCUGUAGUACCAUCAUUAAAGGAAGAAAGGCAACGUGGAAUCUCAGCAGUUGUCUCUACUACAAACCACUGCCUCUAUUUGGAUAUUUCUUAUGUCAUUUUCUAAGCAGCCAGUUACUUACAGAAAAUAGUCAAGAAAAUAAGUCUCAGGUAUUCCAAGAAUUCCAGUUAAUAAAACGAUAACAUUUUUACACAGAUGCUGUGAACUGAGAACCUUGUUUGC